UACGGAGGAUCCAGGCGUUAUCCGGAAUCAUUGGGUUUAAAGGGUGCGUAGGCGGGAUAUUAAGUCAGUGGUGAAAGCCUGCAGCUUAACUGUAGAAUUGCCAUUGAAACUGAUAUUCUUGAGUGCGGUCGAGGUGGUUGGAAUAUAUCAUGUAGCGGUGAAAUGCAUAGAUAUGAUAUAGAACACCAAUUGCGAAGGCAGAGCACUAGACCGUUACUGACGCUCAGGCACGAAAGCAUGGGUAGCAAACAGG
rnacentral:misc_RNA from 1 species